UACGUAGGUGGCAAGCGUUGUCCGGAUUUAUUGGGCGUAAAGCGCGCGCAGGCGGUUUCUUAAGUCUGAUGUGAAAGCCCACGGCUUAACCGUGGAGGGUCAUUGGAAACUGGGAGACUUGAGUGCAGAAGAGGAAAGUGGAAUUCCAAGUGUAGCGGUGAAAUGCGUAGAGAUUUGGAGGAACACCAGUGGCGAAGGCGACUUUCUGGUCUGUAACUGACGCUGAGGCGCGAAAGCAUGGGGAGCAAACAGG
rnacentral:rRNA from 1 species